rnacentral:misc_RNA from 1 species
AAGUCGUAACAAGGUUUCCGUAGGUGAACCUGCGGAAGGAUCAUUAACAAAUUGAUGAUGUGCUUGGGUUCUGAGAAACAUAUAACAUAUGUGCAGAACCCGCUUGGUGCCGCAAGGGUACCCAGUGAUACUGAGUUUUGCGACUCAGAGUAGCUGGGUAUACUUGUGUAUACCUGUGUCACUAGGGAUUAAUUUCCCUAGAGAUACGUAACAAACAAGUAACCUGGGGUACUUUAAGGUGAAGUGCUUUACUGUGCUUUAUCUUAGAGCCCUUCUAAUAAUCCCUAUUUUUACCAUUUUACCCCUUUAUAAACUAUAAGACUGAUAUGACAUGAUAAAUGUCAAAUACUAAAAACUAUAAAACAACUCUUAACAAUGGAUAUCUAGGCUCUG